AAGUCGUAACAAGGUAACCGUAGGUGAACCUGCGGUUGGAUCAUUAAUGAAGGCUUUUAUGCCAAACCAGCUUUUUUAAGCUGACCCACCUUGUGUGAACCGUUAAAAUGUUUUUAGGCGGAGAGGGUUUUUUAAGUUGGGGUUUGAAUACUUCUUCUUCUUUAAUCCAAAGUCUUUAAUUAGAUAACAUCUCCGCCUACUGCUAUUUUCUUGAAAAAGAAGAUGGCAAAACAAAAACAAACCUUUUAUUGUCUUUCAAAUUAUAAAUCUAAACAAAUUUUUACAUUCUAAAAUAAAAUUUCGAAUGAAAAAACAACUUUUGACAACGGAUCUCUUGGCUCUG
rnacentral:misc_RNA from 1 species